UUAACCCACACCGAUUGCCAAUUUUCCUUUAUUGAAGAUGUUUUUCACACAACGCACUCUCCAGCAGAAGCAGCAGCAGCACCAGCACCAGCACUUCCUGUCGCCUCCAUCUCUGCUCUCAUUUCCGUUUCGAACCGCCGCUGACAGCUUAAUGGCCAGGCCGUCCCUCUACCGACUGCUCAAACAUUUAACACACAAAAAUGUGAAUAUAAAAACGAGAAAAAUGAAAGGAAAAU
rnacentral:lncRNA from 1 species